UGGUGGAGCGAUUAGUCUGGUCAAUUCCGAUAACGAACGAGACUCUAGCCUACUAAAUAGUUCGGGGACCCCCACAAAGGGGCCCCGCUUCAACUUCUUAGAGGGACAGGUGGCGUUUAGCCACACGAGAUUGAGCAAUAACA
rnacentral:rRNA from 1 species